ensembl:lncRNA
CCCCCUGUCCCUCCUGUCCCCAACAGGAAGCUCUCUGCUCUGCCUAGGCCAGGCAGGACGGUCCCUGUCACAUCCCGGUGGUGACAAGGACACGGAAACGGCGUCACCUUGGCCGGACUUGGCUCUUUCCUGCCCCGCCGGGGUGGGGACAGCGGGGCUCGGGGUGACACCAGCGACCGCCACAGCCACCACCAGACGGGCCUUGAGAGCUGAGGGGUGGCCCAGCACUGUCCCCACGCUGGGGACACCAUCAGAGGGUGUCCCCAAGCUGGCUGCUGGCUCUGGGAGCAGGCAGGACGUGCCCCGUGGCAGCACUUGGCUCCUGUCCCCUCUCCUCACCCUGACCCUCCCCUGUCCAGCCCCAGGGAGGUGACACCAGGCUCAGCCACCCCAGGGAGGUGACACCAGACUCAGCCACGCUCUCGUCCUUGUCCCCAGGUGGCCCUGUGGCCUCCCAAGCCAUCGCUGUCCCUGUGCCACCACUGCCCGAGGUCACUCCAUCACCCCAGGGCUGGGGACUGUCCCCAGCUCUCAGAAUUGUCACCACGGUGGCUUUGGGGCUGUCCCAGCCCAGGAACCGAAGGGAUUUGGCAGCACCGAGGCCAAACCCCCCUCGGCACGCGGUGACAUCGGUGUCACCUGUCCCCUGCCAGCCCAGCCCAGCCCAGCCCGUCCUCCGGGCACCGCGGCUGCUCCGCCGCUGACUCACGGCACGGCCCCGGGGCCAGCCGGGGGCACGGGGCACCCGCCGGGUGGCACACGGGGACACCAGGGACGCCAGGGACACGGGGGGACACGGGGGGACACGGAGGGACACGGGGGGACACGGGGGGACACCGGUGCCACAGGGGUGACCCCAGCCGGGUGGGAUGGGCAGGACGGGGCUCCCCAGCAGCUCCGCUCCCCCCCCGCGGCCCCAGCGCUUCUUCCUCCUCUUCCUCUCCUUCCUCCUCUUCCUCUCCUUCCUCCUCCCCUGCUCACGGUGGGGACGGAGCCACGCGCGGCCCCGGCACUCCCGGCCCCCAGCUCGGCAUUCCCGCCGGCAAAUCCUGCUGUCCCACCGGGAAAUUCCUCCUUUCCACCAGCAGAUCCCUCUUUCCACCAACAAAUCCUCCUUUUCCACCAUCAAAUCCCCCUUUCCACUGGCAAAUCCUGCUUUUCCACAGGCAGAUCCCUUUUUCCAACUCCAAAUCUCCCUUUUCCACUGGUAAAUCCCCUUUUCCACCAAAAAAAAUCCUCCUUUUCCAAAUCCCCAUUUUCCAAAUCCCCCCUUUCCCAAAUCCCCAUUUUCCAAAUCCCCCCUUUCCCAAAUCCCUUUUUCCAACCCCAAAUCCCCUUCUCCACUGGGAAUUCGCCCUUUUCCACCACCCAGACCCCACUGGCGGCCCCAAACCGAGCUCUCCCCCCCAGGGAAGCUCCGCCGGUGCCUCUGCUCCGGUUCCGCCGCCCCUCGGCCCGUCCCGGUUCCCCCCGGCCCGUCCCGGUUCCCCCCGGUGACCCCAACACCUCCCUCCAACCCCGACCCCGCUCCCGAAGGAUUCCAGGAAUUUCCACCUCCAGCCGCACAUCCCAGACCUCUUCCCAGUCAAAUUUUAAUUCCGAGGGUCCCCAGGGUGGGGUUCCCCAUCCCGGGGGGGCACCGGGAAUCCUCCGGGAUCCCCACCUGCAUCCUGCCGGCGGUCCCGCUGUGUCCGUCCGUCGGGCGUUCGGUUCGGCCGCUCUCUCCUUGCCUCGCACCCAUCCCGCCGGCCCAGCCGGGUUUUUAAGGAGCCUCCCACCCUCUCCUGACGUUCCCAGGGCGUUCCCAGACCGGGCCUUACCUGGGAAAUGCUUCCCUGGAAUUGCAACACCGGGACGGGUCGGAGCGAGCAGGGACCCGCAGCGGCCCCGGCUCCUCCCGGGGGCUGCCGGGGCCCUUCGGGGCUUUGUGGGGGGACGGGACCUGGGUGGGGAUCACCCCGAAAGGUCCCGAGGGCUGCGAGGGCUCCCGGCAGUGGGGAGAGGGCACAGAAUUCCCACCUGGUCCUGCAAAUCCUCCCAUUCCAGCUCCGACCCACCCCGGGCAUGGGGGGNNNNNNNNNNNNNNNNNNNNNNNNNAUGGGGGGAGGAUAAAAUCCUUAAUUUGGGACAAAACCUCAGGUUUGGGGUGGAUAAAAUCCUUAAUUUGGGCCCAAACCACUUCUUCUGGUGGGUGCAAGGGGUUGACACAAGUUUGGAGCAAACAAAAUCCUUAAUUUGGGCCAAAACCCCAGGUUUGGAGUGAAUAAAAUCCUUUAUUUGAGUCCAAAACCACUUGUUCUGAUGAGUGCAAAGGGCUGAAAGAGGUUUGGGAUGAAUAAAAUCCUAAAUUUGAGCCCCA